UUCUGAUGUUUUGAUCGUUACUAAGCAGUGCUUAUUCUAAGGGAGGGAAUUUUCAUCUUCCCAUCCUCUGACAGUGAGGAGAUGCACAAGAAUCCAUAAUGGGCCAUGGCUAAGAAUGUACAUGUGUCCACUUGCAACCAUGGCAGGACCAUCAAACCCCACCAUGUAGCCACAGACAGAUGGAGGAUGAUGGAUCCUGGAAAGUGGAUGGCAACAUCUGGGAAAGGCAAGCCUUCUGAACAGUUUCUGUUGCUACACCC